rnacentral:lncRNA from 1 species
GCUGCUUGAGACUUAAGGACUUGCCUGUGUCAAAGAAACUGGUCUUCAGGGAGUCUGGGACCCUCAUCUGGGACGGGCAGGAGGGCCACGAGCAGUGGGUGGAAGAGAAGCCCCCGUAAGUGCUUCAGGCUUGCUUCAAUUUCUCCGUUUCACUAUGGCUCCUGUUCAGAAGAUCCUCUCCCAGUAUCCUUCCCAAACCUCUCUCCCUACUUCCCUCCCUCCAACCUCUCCCCCUUU